rnacentral:rRNA from 1 species
GUAAAAGUGUCGUUCAAGGUUUCCGUAGGUAAACCUGCGUAAGGAUCAUCA